CCUACGGGGGGCAGCAGUCGGGAAUAUUGCGCAAUGGAGGAAACUCUGACGCAGUGACGCCGCGUAUAGGAAGAAGUUUUUCGGAAUGUAAACUAUUGUCGUUAGGGAAGAGAAAGGACAGUACCUAAGGAGGAAGCUCCGGCUAACUACGUGCCAGCAGCCGCGGUAAUACGUAGGGAGCGAGCGUUAUCCGGAAUUACUGGGCGUAAAGCGCUCGUAGGCGGUAUGUCAAGUCAAGGGUGAAAUCCCCGCGCUCAACGUGGGAACUGCAUUUGAAACGGGCAAACUGGAGUGUGUGAGAGGAU
rnacentral:rRNA from 1 species